rnacentral:rRNA from 1 species
ACGCUCGACACCUACGGGAGGCNGCAGUGGGGAAUAUUGCACAAUGGGGGAAACCCUGAUGCAGCGACGCCGCGUGGAGGAAGAAGGUCUUCGGAUUGUAAACUCCUGUUGUUGGGGAAAAAGAGGAUGGUACCCAACAAGGAAGUGACGGCUAACUACGUGCCAACAGCCGCGGUAAUCUGAGCGGGCUGGCAAGGC